ACACUGACCUGGCAGGAGAGCUCUAAGACCAGGGAGGUGGUUUUUCCAAGGGGAGCCUCAUCCCUUGCCCUCUGGCUGUGCCAGCCCCUGUGCUUUCCCCAAAUCUGGGCAACUCAGCGGCAUCACUGUGCUGUGGUUGUGAGGGGAUGACAUCCCUGUUGUUCCCCA
rnacentral:snRNA from 14 species